AUUGAACGCUGGCGGCAUGCUUUACACAUGCAAGUCGAACGGCAGCGCGGGCUUCGGCCUGGCGGCGAGUGGCGCACGGGUGAGUAAUGCAUCGGAACGUGCCCAGUAGUGGGGGAUAGCCCCGCGAAAGCCGGAUUAAUACCGCAUACGACCUGAGGGUGAAAGCGGGGGACCGAAAGGCCUCGCGCUAUUGGAGCGGCCGAUGUCGGAUUAGCUAGUUGGUGGGGCAAAGGCUUACCAAGCCGACGAUCCGUAGCUGGUCUGAGAGAACGAUCAGCCACAUUAGGACUGAGACACGGCCCAGACUCCUACGGGAGGCAGCAGUGGGGAAUUUUGGACAAUGGGGGGAAACCUGAUCCAGCCAUGCCGCGUGCGGGAAGAAGGCCUUCGGGUUGUAAAACGCUUUUGUUCGGGAAGAAAACCUGUGGGCUAAUACCCCGGGGGGAUGACGGUACCGGAAGAAUAAGCACCGGCUAACUACGUG
rnacentral:rRNA from 1 species